GGAGAGGUGCCUGAGUGGUUGAAAGGGCUCGCUUGGAAAGCGUGUAUGUGGUGAUCCUGCAUCGAGGGUUCGAAUCCCUCUCUCUCCG
rnacentral:tRNA from 1 species